rnacentral:rRNA from 1 species
GAUGAGCGCUGGCGGCGUGCUUAACACAUGCAAGUCGAACGGAAAGGCCCAAGCUUGCUUGGGUACUCGAGUGGCGAACGGGUGAGUAACACGUGGGUGAUCUGCCCUGCACUUCGGGAUAAGCCUGGGAAACUGGGUCUAAUACCGGAUAGGACCACUUCUUGGAUGUUGUGGUGGAAAGUUUUUUCGGUGUGGGAUGAGCUCGCGGCCUAUCAGCUUGUUGGUGGGGUAAUGGCCUACCAACGCGUCGACGGGUAGCCGGCCUGAGAGGGUGUACGGCCACAUUGGGACUGAGAUACGGCCCAGACUCCUACGGGAGGCAGCAGUGGGGAAUAUUGCACAAUGGGCGCAAGCCUGAUGCAGCGACGCCGCGUGGGGGAUGACGGCCUUCGGGUUGUAAACUCCUUUCGCUAGGGACGAAGCGUUUUGUGACGGUACCUGGAGAAGAAGCACCGGCUAACUACGUG